rfam:Dictyostelium discoideum AX4 chromosome 2, whole genome shotgun sequence.
UUAAUGAUGAUACACAAAAUCAUAUGUCAAUUCCUUUAACAUGAAAUAGAAUGAUUAUAACGAUUUUCCAUUUAACUGACA